GGAUGAGCCCGCGGCCUAUCAGCUUGUUGGUGGGGUAAUGGCCCACCAAGGCGACGACGGGUAGCCGGCCUGAGAGGGCGACCGGCCACACUGGGACUGAGACACGGCCCAGACUCCUACGGGAGGCAGCAGUGGGGAAUAUUGCACAAUGGGCGAAAGCCUGAUGCAGCGACGCCGCGUGAGGGAUGACGGCCUUCGGGUUGUAAACCUCUUUCAGCAGGGAAGAAGCGAAAGUGACGGUACCUGCAGAAGAAGCGCCGGCUAACUACGUGCCAGCAGCCGCGGUAAUACGUAGGGCGCAAGCGUUGUCCGGAAUUAUUGGGCGUAAAGAGCUCGUAGGCGGCUUGUCACGUCGGGUGUGAAAGCCCGGGGCUUAACCCCGGGUCUGCAUCCGAUACGGGCAGGCUAGAGUGUGGUAGGGGAGAUCGGAAUUCCUGGUGUAGCGGUGAAAUGCGCAGAUAUCAGGAGGAACACCGGUGGCGAAGGCGGAUCUCUGGGCCAUUACUGACGCUGAGGAGCGAAAGCGUGGGGAGCGAACAGGAUUAGAUACCCUGGUAGUCCACGCCGUAAACGUUGGGAACUAGGUGUUGGCGACAUUCCACGUCGUCGGUGCCGCAGCUAACGCAUUAAGUUCCCCGC
rnacentral:rRNA from 1 species